rnacentral:rRNA from 2 species
UUGGAUAACCGUGGUAAUUCUAGAGUUAAUACAUGCUGAAAACCCCAACUUCGGAAGGGGUGUAUUUAUUAGAUAAAAAACCAACGCCCUUCGGGGCUUCUUGGUGAUUCAUAAUAACUUUACGGAUCGCAUGGCCUUGCGCCGGCGACGGUUCAUUCAAAUUUCUGCCCUAUCAACUUUCGAUGGUAAGGUAUUGGCUUACCAUGGUUUCAACGGGUAACGGGGAAUUAGGGUUCGAUUCCGGAGAGGGAGCCUGAGAAACGGCUACCACAUCCAAGGAAGGCAGCAGGCGCGCAAAUUACCCAAUCCCGACACGGGGAGGUAGUGACAAUAAAUACUGAUACAGGGCUCUUUUGGGUCUUGUAAUUGGAAUGAGUACAAUUUAAACCUCUUAACGAGGAACAAUUGGAGGGCAAGUCUGGUGCCAGCAGCCGCGGUAAUUCCAGCUCCAAUAGCGUAUAUUAAAGUUGUUGCAGUUAAAAAGCUCGUAGUUGAAACUUGGGUCUGGCUGGCAGGUCCGCCUCACCGCGUGUACUUGUCCGGCCGGGCCUUCCUUCUGGAGAACCUCAUGCCCUUCACUGGGCGUGUUGGGGACCAGGACUUUUACUUUGAAAAAAUUAGAGUGUUCAAAGCAGGCCUUUGCUCGAAUACGUUAGCAUGGAAUAAUAGAAUAGGACGUGCGUUCCUAUUUUGUUGGUUUCUAGGAACGCCGUAAUGAUUAAUAGGGACAGUCGGGGGCAUCAGUAUUCAAUUGUCAGAGGUGAAAUUCUUGGAUUUAUUGAAGACUAACUACUGCGAAAGCAUUUGCCAAGGAUGUUUUCAUUAAUCAGUGAACGAAAGUUAGGGGAUCGAAGACGAUCAGAUACCGUCGUAGUCUUAACCGUAAACUAUGCCGACUAGGGAUCGGGCGAUGUUCUUUUUCUGACUCGCUCGGCACCUUACGAGAAAUCAAA